rnacentral:rRNA from 1 species
ACUACGGGUGGCAGCAGUAGGGAAUCUUCCACAAUGGGCGAAAGCCUGAUGGAGCAACGCCGCGUGGGUGAAGAAGGUCUUCGGAUCGUAAAACCCUGUUGUUAGAGAAGAAAGUGCGUGAGAGUAACUGUUCACGUUUCGACGGUAUCUAACCAGAAAGCCACGGCUAACUACGUGCCAGCAGCCGCGGUAAGACGUAGGUGUCAAGCGUUAUCCGGAUUUAUUGGGCGUAAAGGGACCGCAGGAGGUCUUUUAAGUCUGAUGUGAAAGCCUUGGGCUUAACCGGAGUAGUGCAUUGUAAACUGGGAGACUUGAGUGCAGAAGGGGAGAGUGGAACUCCAUGUGUAGCGGUGAAAUGCGUAGAUAUAUGGAAGAACACCAGUGGCGAAAGCGGCUCUCUGGUCUGUAACUGACGCUGAGGUUCGAAAGCGUGGGUAGCAAACAGGAUUAGAUACCCUAGUAGUC